CCCUUAGAUGUCCUGGGCCGCACGCGUGCUACACUGACACUUACACCGAGUUUUUCCGGCCCCGAGAGGUGGCUGGUAAUCAGUAAUAGGUGUCGUGAUGGGGAUAGAUCUUUGGAAUUAUUGAUCUUGAACGAGGAAUGCCUAGUAAUCGUAGGUCAUCAGCCUGCGAUGAUUACGUCCCUGCCCUUUGUACACACCGCCCGUCGCUCCUACCGAUUUCGAGUGGUCCGGUGAACCUUUCGGACAGAGAGAGUCUCGUACAAUCUCUGAAAGUCAAGUAAACCACAUCACUUAGAGGAAGGAGAAGUCGUAACA
rnacentral:rRNA from 1 species